GGGUUGUGAGGUUAAGCGACUAAGCGUACACGGUGGAUGCCCUGGCAGUCAGAGGCGAUGAAGGACGUGCUAAUCUGCGAUAAGCGUCGGUAAGGUGAUAUGAACCGUUAUAACCGGCGAUUUCCGAAUGGGGAAACCCAGUGUGUUUCGACACACUAUCAUUAACUGAAUCCAUAGGUUAAUGAGGCGAACCGGGGGAACUGAAACAUCUAAGUACCCCGAGGAAAAGAAAUCAACCGAGAUUCCCCCAGUAGCGGCGAGCGAACGGGGAGCAGCCCAGAGCCUGAAUCAGUGUGUGUGUUAGUGGAAGCGUCUGGAAAGGCGCGCGAUACAGGGUGACAGCCCCGUACACAAAAAUGCACAUGCUGUGAGCUCGAUGAGUAGGGCGGGACACGUGGUAUCCUGUCUGAAUAUGGGGGGACCAUCCUCCAAGGCUAAAUACUCCUGACUGACCGAUAGUGAACCAGUACCGUGAGGGAAAGGCGAAAAGAACCCCGGCGAGGGGAGUGAAAAAGAACCUGAAACCGUGUACGUACAAGCAGUGGGAGCACGCUUAGGCGUGUGACUGCGUACCUUUUGUAUAAUGGGUCAGCGACUUAUAUUCUGUAGCAAGGUUAACCGAAUAGGGGAGCCGAAGGGAAACCGAGUCUUAACUGGGCGUUAAGUUGCAGGGUAUAGACCCGAAACCCGGUGAUCUAGCCAUGGGCAGGUUGAAGGUUGGGUAACACUAACUGGAGGACCGAACCGACUAAUGUUGAAAAAUUAGCGGAUGACUUGUGGCUGGGGGUGAAAGGCCAAUCAAACCGGGAGAUAGCUGGUUCUCCCCGAAAGCUAUUUAGGUAGCGCCUCGUGAAUUCAUCUCCGGGGGUAGAGCACUGUUUCGGCAAGGGGGUCAUCCCGACUUACCAACCCGAUGCAAACUGCGAAUACCGGAGAAUGUUAUCACGGGAGACACACGGCGGGUGCUAACGUCCGUCGUGAAGAGGGAAACAACCCAGACCGCCAGCUAAGGUCCCAAAGUCAUGGUUAAGUGGGAAACGAUGUGGGAAGGCCCAGACAGCCAGGAUGUUGGCUUAGAAGCAGCCAUCAUUUAAAGAAAGCGUAAUAGCUCACUGGUCGAGUCGGCCUGCGCGGAAGAUGUAACGGGGCUAAACCAUGCACCGAAGCUGCGGCAGCGACGCUUAUGCGUUGUUGGGUAGGGGAGCGUUCUGUAAGCCUGUGAAGGUGUGCUGUGAGGCAUGCUGGAGGUAUCAGAAGUGCGAAUGCUGACAUAAGUAACGAUAAAGCGGGUGAAAAGCCCGCUCGCCGGAAGACCAAGGGUUCCUGUCCAACGUUAAUCGGGGCAGGGUGAGUCGACCCCUAAGGCGAGGCCGAAAGGCGUAGUCGAUGGGAAACAGGUUAAUAUUCCUGUACUUGGUGUUACUGCGAAGGGGGGACGGAGAAGGCUAUGUUGGCCGGGCGACGGUUGUCCCGGUUUAAGCGUGUAGGCUGGUUUUCCAGGCAAAUCCGGAAAAUCAAGGCUGAGGCGUGAUGACGAGGCACUACGGUGCUGAAGCAACAAAUGCCCUGCUUCCAGGAAAAGCCUCUAAGCAUCAGGUAACAUCAAAUCGUACCCCAAACCGACACAGGUGGUCAGGUAGAGAAUACCAAGGCGCUUGAGAGAACUCGGGUGAAGGAACUAGGCAAAAUGGUGCCGUAACUUCGGGAGAAGGCACGCUGAUAUGUAGGUGAAGUCCCUUGCGGAUGGAGCUGAAAUCAGUCGAAGAUACCAGCUGGCUGCAACUGUUUAUUAAAAACACAGCACUGUGCAAACACGAAAGUGGACGUAUACGGUGUGACGCCUGCCCGGUGCCGGAAGGUUAAUUGAUGGGGUUAGCCGCAAGGCGAAGCUCUUGAUCGAAGCCCCGGUAAACGGCGGCCGUAACUAUAACGGUCCUAAGGUAGCGAAAUUCCUUGUCGGGUAAGUUCCGACCUGCACGAAUGGCGUAAUGAUGGCCAGGCUGUCUCCACCCGAGACUCAGUGAAAUUGAACUCGCUGUGAAGAUGCAGUGUACCCGCGGCAAGACGGAAAGACCCCGUGAACCUUUACUAUAGCUUGACACUGAACAUUGAGCCUUGAUGUGUAGGAUAGGUGGGAGGCUUUGAAGUGUGGACGCCAGUCUGCAUGGAGCCGACCUUGAAAUACCACCCUUUAAUGUUUGAUGUUCUAACGUUGACCCGUAAUCCGGGUUGCGGACAGUGUCUGGUGGGUAGUUUGACUGGGGCGGUCUCCUCCUAAAGAGUAACGGAGGAGCACGAAGGUUGGCUAAUCCUGGUCGGACAUCAGGAGGUUAGUGCAAUGGCAUAAGCCAGCUUGACUGCGAGCGUGACGGCGCGAGCAGGUGCGAAAGCAGGUCAUAGUGAUCCGGUGGUUCUGAAUGGAAGGGCCAUCGCUCAACGGAUAAAAGGUACUCCGGGGAUAACAGGCUGAUACCGCCCAAGAGUUCAUAUCGACGGCGGUGUUUGGCACCUCGAUGUCGGCUCAUCACAUCCUGGGGCUGAAGUAGGUCCCAAGGGUAUGGCUGUUCGCCAUUUAAAGUGGUACGCGAGCUGGGUUUAGAACGUCGUGAGACAGUUCGGUCCCUAUCUGCCGUGGGCGCUGGAGAACUGAGGGGGGCUGCUCCUAGUACGAGAGGACCGGAGUGGACGCAUCACUGGUGUUCGGGUUGUCAUGCCAAUGGCACUGCCCGGUAGCUAAAUGCGGAAGAGAUAAGUGCUGAAAGCAUCUAAGCACGAAACUUGCCCCGAGAUGAGUUCUCCCUGACUCCUUGAGAGUCCUGAAGGAACGUUGAAGACGACGACGUUGAUAGGCCGGGUGUGUAAGCGCAGCGAUGCGUUGAGCUAACCGGUACUAAUGAACCGUGAGGCUUAACCUUACAACGCCGAAGGUGUUU
rnacentral:rRNA from 1 species